GACGAACGCUGGCGGUAUGCUUAACACAUGCAAGUCGAACGAGAAGUCUUUUAUUGAACCUUCGGGGGAUAUAAGAGACAGACAGUGGCGAACGGGUGAGUAACGCGUGGGCAACCUACCUAUCGGAGCGGGAUAGCCUCGAGAAAUCGGGAGUAAAACCGCAUAACACGGAUAUAUCGCAUGAUGAAUCCGUCAAAACUCCGGUGCCGAUAGAUGGGCCCGCGUCUGAUUAGCUAGUUGGUAAGGUAAGGGCUUACCAAGGCAACGAUCAGUAGCCGGUCUGAGAGGGCGAACGGCCACACUGGAACUGAGACACGGUCCAGACUCCUACGGGAGGCAGCAGUGGGGAAUAUUGCGCAAUGGGGGCAACCCUGACGCAGCAAUACCGCGUGAGUGAAGAAGGUUUUCGGAUCGUAAAGCUCUGUUAUUGGGGAAGAA
rnacentral:rRNA from 1 species